GGCCGUUUCUGGACUGUACACACCCGCUGGGCCGUUUUUUCCCGUAUGAGCUAACAAUUGGGCCGGCCCAAGUAAGCACUUGUAUGUAAACCCUAAUCAGGAACCUCGUGCCCGUGCGCAUAUUAUAUCCACUCGACCUGCCGCCGAGCUCCAGCUCCGCCUGCGCCGGCUGCCUCUGUUCGCCGAUUGCCACGAGCCGCCGUGUUUCUUCGUUCCAUCUAGCUCUUUUCUUUUUGUGUGUGUGUGUGUGUGUGCUCUGUUUAUCAUCUUGGUUGUGUUGCUUUUCCUAGAACCUCCCAAUCUGUUUUAUUUUGAUCUGGUUUCUCGUUGAUUUCGACAGACAUCUUGUGUUGUUUGCAAGAUCAGCUUCUUGUUUGGACCUCGAACUAGAACCCGGUCCAGGCGAUCGGCAAUCAUCCUGCCAUCUUGCAAGAUUGAAUCCGAGCCAGCUUAAACUCACCUGGAUCUGACACCCUUGGUGAUUUUCUGGGCCCUUUCGGCUGGCACAUGUGUCCCCUCUUCUCCUGUCCAAAGAAGAAUUGUUCGUCGUUGGGUACUUGCCUAAUUGGGUUGUUUCUCCUGUCCAUAGAAGAUAGAAUUGUUCGUCCUUGGGGUUUUCGUUGAUGUUCUGGUGAGAGCACAGCAAACGCACUCUGUCCCAAAACCUUCCCGUGUUUUGUGGCAAUUUCUUCGUUUGCGAGAGGGAUUUUUCCAAGAUCUCGUCCGCGGGUGAGGCUUCCUGUGAUCUCGUGGAGGAAGUAUCUAGGGGCACAAUAGGUCCAGCCCACAAACUACUCGGCGCAUAUCCGAAAACCCUAGGAGUUCGGUGACAGCUAUAUAUACGGCCGCCGGAGCGAGGCCCCAACAAUCGCCUUCUCUCACCGUCGCCGCCGACAGCAGCCGCACCUAUCUCCUUCGAUUCGAAGCUCUCCUCCUUCUGUUUGCCUCGUUCGAUUCGGCCUGCGGGAAGCGUUGUCUCCGUUUCGUACUGUGCCGUGUUGUUUGAGCGUGUUCUUCCGAUUCUUCUCCGGAUCUUUGGUUAUUUGUUUUGAUCGUUUUUCUGGCGAUUUGGAUUGGGAUUAGAUGGGAGCAGGUGAUGACAACAAGACAGGGACAUCAGAACCCUUUUUCUGGGUAUGAUAGACUAAGUCUUCAAUGGGAAUCUCUCUGAUGCUCUAGCUUUCCCAGAACCAAAUCUCUUUUCUCCUUAUUUCCAUCUUUUGAGAUCUUGUUUCUUCUUCCCUGUGUUCAUUGGUUGCCGAUGAUGCAUAACAACUGCACGUAUUAUCAGAUUGUUCCAUGACGAUCUACAAAUUGUCACUACCACUGAGGCAGACUUCUAAUCUGCAAUCUGUUUUCUUUUGAAUUUGAUUAAUUUGCAGGUUUUGCCUUUUUUUCCAUCUCCUUUCGGUAUUCGUUUUUCGUUAUUCUGAUACGCUAUCGAGAGCAAAUAGCCGAUGAUGGUGUUAAAUAUACUUUGUAGCGUACCGCUGUGAAAAAAACUUAAAUCUGAGGCAUUUGCAGUUUAAUAAUCGUCGUUGUUACAUCACAUGUCUUCUGUCUUCAGACAACAACGAUCUUCUAAUGAUUAUUUUGGAUGCCCAUUGUCUCGUAGAUAACACAAUAUAAACUUUUGUGGUAGUAGUUCCCCGUUACAACCACAAUACUAGGUGCUUAAUCAUUUUACUGGUAGCAGUUAACAUGGAUAAAUACACAAUCAAGUAACAUAUACUUAUCUCAUUCUUAAAAGUAACAUGUUCUGUUUCCUUAAUUAUGUGCUGGCAUGGGGCUGUGACAGACAUACAGAAAUGGGGUCAUGAUUUUGUAAAAUAAAUCUCUGAUAACAUCAACCAUAUGAACAACCUGCAUCGACCCUAUUCAGGAACCUCGUGCCCCUGCGCAUAUAUAUCCACUCGACCGGCCGCCGAGCUCCUGCUCCGCCUGCGCCGGCUGGCCUCUGUUCGGCGACUGCCACGAUCCGCCGUGUUUCUUCGUUCCAUCUAGCUCUUUUUUUUGUGUGUGUGCUUUGUUUGUCAUCUUGGUUAGCAGAGUGCCUCCUCUUGGUUUGGUUUCUCGUUGAUUUCAACAGAAAUCUUGUGAUGUUUGCAAGAUCAGCUUCUUGUUUGGACCUCGAACUAGAGCCCGGUCCAGGCAAUCGGCAAUCAUCCUGCCAUCUUGCGAGAUUGAAUCCGAGCCAGCUUAAACUCACCUGGAUCUGACACCCUUGGUGAUUUUCUGGGCCCUUUCGGCUGGCACAUGCCCCCUCUUUUCCUGUCCAAAGAAGAAUUGUUCGUCCUUUGGUAGUUGCCUAAUUGGGCUGUUUUCGUUGAUGUUCUGGUGAGAGCACAGCAAACGCACUCUGUCCCAAAACCUUCCCUUGUUUUGUGGCAAUUUCUUCGUUUGCGAGAGGGAUUUUCCAAGAUCUCGUCCGCGGGUGAGGCUUCCUGUGAUCUCGUGGAGGAAUUCUGGAAACAUUGUUUGAUUCCUCUCUUCUCUUAUUCAUUCUUAUUGAAAUUUGUUUCUCGCUUUUUAAGUAGAUUGAGUAGAAGUAUCUGCAUCUCCCUUCUGUGUUGGGUUAAUGAUGUCUCUUGAGAUCAUUAUACUUUUCUUAAUUAAUUGACGUUUAUUGAAAAAUAAUUAGAAAAAUUAACACCGGCUAAAAUUUGUUUAAAUUUUAAAUGGUUCAUCUGAAAUUUUGAAUUAAAGCAGAGGCAUUUGAGGAACUAAAAACGGGACGUGCAAUUGCUAUGCGUAAUGUGUUGGGUUAAUGAUGUCUCUUGACAUCAUUAUACUUUUCUUAAUUAAUUGACGUUUAUUGAAAAAUAAUUAGAAAAUUUAUCACCGGCUAAAAUUUGUUUAAAUUUUAAAUGGUUUAUCUGAAAUUUUGAAUUAAAGCAGAGGCAUUUGAGGAACUAAAAACGGGACGUGCAAUUGCUAUGCGUAAGAACAACUCCAACACUACCCUAUAUGCACUUGGCAAAUUCUAAUUUUUGGCAAAACAUGGAAAAAGCUCCUCCAACACUACCUAUAUGCACUUGGCAAAAUAGGAUGCUUGGCAAAAAGAGGGCCAACUGGCUCAAAUUUAGGAGCGUUGGGAGCGCUUGGCAUCCCGCCUACGCGGUGGGACCCACACAUUCAGCAUGCACGCAUGCCUAGAUUGCAACUUUUGCAUAAAAGUCCCUCUGAUUUUUUCAGAAAUCACAAGAUAGUCUAAAUUUGCCAAAAAAAAAUAGCUAAGUGUUGGAGAAGCCUCUUUUUUUCACUUGGCAUUUGAGGUUUACACUUGGCAAAAUCCAAGAUUUGCCUACAUCUGGGACAAUGUUAACUGAAAUUUUUGCAAAUCAUCAGGGACAAUGAAUGGCGACAAUUAAAUAGAGAUGGAGGGAGUAGAUUCAAUGUUGACAUAAAUUUUUCUAUUGAUGACCACCAAGUUAUUGAUGCAAUGAUGCUACUGUGCUGAAAUUAAGCUUAAGCACAAUCAAUUAUACCAUAGACUGUCUUUUGGCAUGGAAGCAUUUUUUGAUUCAAAUUCGUCAGGCAUGAAAUGAAUAAUUACAGUUCCUGUCAAAUUUGGUCGAAGUAUGCUUCCCAAAAUAAUUGGUGGCGAUGUACAUUUGCGCUACUUCCAAAUUGCGAGGUACAUUUCCGCUACAUCCAAAUGGUGAGUGGACGGAGUUUUGAGGAUUUGAGGCGAGGAGACGAACUUGCACGAGGCGCUCAACGUGUUCUACAAUUUCAUCAAUCAUCACCGUGGAGGCAUGGACGAGCUGCGCACUGUGCCACCGGCCACCGUAUGAAACGACGUCUUCUAGUGGAGGGUUUUGUUUUAGAAAUCAAUUUUUUUAGAGCACGUCUAGCAACACGUAUUUCUUUUAAGCAGAAAAGAGUACAACCAAACAUAAACUGAUAACAACUAGGUUACCGACGUCUACAGAGUACUAGAUCUUUAGAAAACAAUUCAGUUUGGAGUUUAUAUAUUCUUUAAAUUUAGUGAAACGACUCUAUUAAUUGCUUGUAAGUAAUGAGACGGUGAUGCCAUUCAUUUUUGUCCUCAAUUCAGCAUCAGCGACGCACAUCUUUUUGAUUGGAACACCUUCAGUCAUCUCCAACAACUUUGUAAAUCCACUUUGUAUUCUUAUUAUUUUGGCAAAAACACAAAAAGAGC
rnacentral:lncRNA from 1 species